rnacentral:rRNA from 1 species
AGGAAAUAGAUACCCUGGUAGUCCUGGCAGUAAACGGUGCACGUUUGGUGUGGGCGCAAUCGACCGCGUCCGCGCCGGAGCUAAACGCGUUAAACGUGCCGCCUGGGAAGUACGGUCGCAAGAUUAAAACUCAAAGAAAUUGACGGGGACCCGCACAAGCGGUGGAGUAUGUGGCUUAAUUCGAUGCAACGCGAAGAACCUUACCUGGUCUUGACAUGCAUUGUGUCUCCGGUGAAAGCCGGAUAGGGCAGCAAUGCCCGCUUUGCACAGGUGCUGCAUGGCUGUCGUCAGCUCGUGUCGUGAGAUGUUGGGUUUAAGUCCCGCAACGAGCGCAACCCCGUGUGAUUUGUUGCCACCGGCUUAUGCCGAGCACUCGAAUCAGACUGCCUCGAUCAACGAGGAGGAAGGUGGGGAUGACGUCAAGUCCGUAUGGCCCUUACGACCAGGGCUGCACACGUACUACAAUGCUCAGCACAAUGUGAACCGAUGCCGCGAGGUGGAGGAAA